UGGUGGAAGAAACCCAUUGAUUGAAUUUGAUGUUCGACCCAGCAUGAUGGAUAAUCAAUUUAACAGAUUUUGUUGGGAUGACUUCAAAGUUUUGAUGUAGUUAAUUAAUUGUAUGGUUGUGCUCACGAGAGCAAACGUGAACGAGUCAUACACAAUGAAGAUAAAGUACAUCAUCUUUAGCAAAUUGAUGUUUAAACAAGAGGUAAGGAUAGCAUGGCCCAUGUAAAGUUGGGUUUG
rnacentral:lncRNA from 1 species